GGAUAACUCGGUAUUGGUAAACUAAUCUACUUGCUACGUAGUUGCUUAAAUAGCUAUCAGCGUUCGAUUCGCUGGUUAUCCG
rnacentral:tRNA from 2 species